AGUGCAGGCCUUGUCUCAGCUACGUGAGAAUCUAGAGAACUGUUUUAUUUUACCAAACAUCCUGCGAGAACCGGCAGUGGCAAGCAUAACCCUUUCUUCCUUUUGGUGAAGUUGGAAAGAGAAUGGAAAGAACGAGGUGGACGAACUCUUGAGAUUAUCAAUGACUGUCAGCGCGAAAGGAAACACAUGCUGUUUUCUGAGUCUGUUUUAACACGGGACCACUUACUGUCUGGAGAAUUUUCUCUUUGUUUGAUGGAUUCAAGGAGAACUGACGACAGAGUUUCCUCCGUUCUGCAGUUUUCAUCAGCAGGUCUCCCAAGUGAAGAUGCAGAAAACUCUCCUGAAGAGAAACCGCCUUCAGGACGACCACUCAUACCAAAACACUGAGUGUGAGAAUAAAAACAACUGCGAAGUCUGGCUUCACAUGACAGAAGUUAUCCACUGUUACUCUCACAGCAGCAAUUACCAUCCAUAUGAAGCUCAUAAAUAGCAUCCAGAUGUUGAAUUAAACCUUCCCACCCUUCCUUUUCAA